UACGUAGGGUCCGAGCGUUGUCCGGAGUUACUGGGCGUAAAAGCGCGCGCAGGCGGCUGGCUUUGCCCGGCGUGAAAGCCCCCGGCUCAACCGGGGGAGGGUCGUCGGGGACGGGUCAGCUUGAGGCCGGCAGGGGCAGGUGGGAAUUCCCGGUGUAGGUGGUGAAAUGCGUAGGAGGAAUCGGGGAAGGAACACCCCGUG
rnacentral:rRNA from 1 species